AGCGAACGCUGGCGGCAGGCUUAACACAUGCAAGUCGAGCGGGCACUUUCGGGUGUCAGCGGCGGACGGGUGAGUAACGCGUGGGAACGUGCCCUCUGGUUCGGAAUAACUCAGGGAAACUUGAGCUAAUACCGGAUACGCCCUUUUGGGGAAAGGCUUGCUGCCGGAGGAUCGGCCCGCGUCUGAUUAGCUAGUUGGUGAGGUAACGGCUCACCAAGGCGACGAUCAGUAGCUGGUCUGAGAGGAUGAUCAGCCACACUGGGACUGAGACACGGCCCAGACUCCUACGGGAGGCAGCAGUGGGGAAUAUUGGGCAAUGGGCGCAAGCCUGAUCCAGCCAUGCCGCGUGAGUGAUGAAGGCCUUGGGAUUGUAAAGCUCUUUUAUCCGGGACGAUAAUGACGGUACCGGAGGAAUAAGCCCCGGCUAACUUCGUG
rnacentral:rRNA from 1 species